rnacentral:rRNA from 1 species
UACGUAGGGGGCAAGCGUUGUCCGGAUUUAUUGGGCGUAAAGAGCGUGUAGGCGGCCAGGUAGGUCUGCUGUGAAAACUCGAGGCUUAACCUCGAGCUGUCGGCGGAAACCAUCUGGCUAGAGUCCGGAAGAGGAGAAUGGAAUUCCCGGUGUAGUGGUGAAAUGCGUAGAUAUCGGGAGGAAUACCAGUGGCGAAGGCGGCUUCCUGGCCUGUUCUUGACGCUGAGGCGCGAAAGCUAGGGUAGCAAACGGG